rnacentral:lncRNA from 1 species
UUUCUGGAAAAUUAACUUGGGAGCCAUCAGAGGUGAAAGAAAGGGACUGAAAAUAAGUCGCUCUGGUGUCAGGAGCAGAAUUUGCUUGCCUGAGACCCAGUGCCAAAGUCAAAGACCCGAUUCUUCUCCCACCCACGCUAACUUGGGAGUGAGGAAGUUUGUCAGUUAAACAGGUUCGUUUGGGUCGCGUUUCUCUCUUUGAAAUGCGGUGAGGACAGCUGACGCGCGCUCCCUGCUUUCUGAGCACUUACUGCUCUGAGCAACCCUGUGAAGGCAUAAAUCUUCCUUCCAGUGUUAACAGAAAAUCAAUCAUGACUCCGACGCCAUCCUUUUGGGGAGUUCCACGGAAGAGCUACCUUAUGAAUAGAUUCUGCGUCACCGCCCAGGAUGGAGAUCACCCUUGCCUUCUAGGUUCCAUGAAGAACAAAGUGCUUCAUGACAAGUUCAUGUCUGGUUUGGAAGCUUCCAGGGUGAGUGGGGAUUGUAUCUAAGAGCUCAGGGUUCCAGGUCUCUAGAUGGCCUCUUUGGGAUUGGGAAAUGGUAACUGUUGGUUCUGUGGGCUCUGAUGGCUGCUUGAGGGAGUUUGGUCUGGUAAUAUUGUAAGUUGGCAUCUUACAAAAAGUUCAUACCAAGAAGAGCAUCUCUCCCAAGCAAUAUGAAGCCACUCCUCAGAGAUUUUUCCCAGACCUGGGCUUUGAAUUGGGGUAGGGAGUGGGAGCAGG